GGGGCCAUAGGUCAGCUGGGAGAGCGCUACGCUGGCAGCGUAGAGGUCAGGGGUUCGAGCCCCCUUGGCUCCA
rnacentral:tRNA from 1 species